GGCGGCCUAACACAUGGCCAGUUCGUAACAAGGGUAACCACGCAGCUUGCUCCUUUGCUGACGAGUGGCGGACGGGUGAGUAAUGUCUGGGAAACUGCCUGAUGGAGGGGGAUAACUACUGGAAACGGUAGCUAAUACCGCAUAACGUCGCAAGACCAAAGAGGGGGACCUUCGGGCCUCUUGCCAUCGGAUGUGCCCAGAUGGGAUUAGCUAGUAGGUGGGGUAACGGCUCACCUAGGCGACGAUCCCUAGCUGGUCUGAGAGGAUGACCAGCCACACUGGAACUGAGACACGGUCCAGACUCCUACGGGAGGCAGCAGUGGGGAAUAUUGCACAAUGGGCGCAAGCCUGAUGCAGCCAUGCCGCGUGUAUGAAGAAGGCCUUCGGGUUGUAAAGUACUUUCAGCGGGGAGGAAGGGAGUAAAGUUAAUACCUUUGCUCAUUGACGUUACCCGCAGAAGAAACACCGGCUAACUCCGUGCCAGGAGCCGCCGUAAUACGGAGGGUGCCAGCGUUUAUCGGAAUUACUGGGCGUAAAGCGCACUC
rnacentral:rRNA from 1 species